rnacentral:lncRNA from 7 species
GCGAGAUCCUCGCCGCGACCCCAACAAACCCCCCAAACUCCCUAGCACCAGCUGCCAAUCUACCCGUCCGAUUCGCGCGGCAUGAAGCCUUGGUCCGCACCCCGAUCCUGUUAAAAACCCGACACCUCACCUGCCUCACCAAACCCUAGAAUUCCAAUUCCGUCGCGAGAGAGACCUCACCGCCUCGCCAUUGACUGUCGUUGCGGCAUCGUGGGCCUCAGAAAGUGCUAGGGCGUUUCCCCAACCAUUCUGCGCAAGUGAGAAACCUCGGGGGAAAACAAUUUCAAGAUCGCGCGGGCUCUGGCGCAAGAUCGACGGGAGGAGAGAGAAAAAGGGGGCGUUCCGUGCGUCGUUGGUGGGCCCUGACCGCACGUUUGGGGCACCACGCGGGUCCUUCAUCAUCACGUUGGGCAAGCUCGUCGUCGGCAUCUAGAUCCUCGCAGUGAGGUCACGAGUCACCUGAAGUUCAUCC